rnacentral:rRNA from 1 species
GACAUAGGGUGCAAACGUUGUUCGGAAUUACUGGGCGUAAAGCGCUCGUAGGCGGCUUGGCAAGUCGGAUGUGAAAUCCCUCGGCUCAACCAAGGAAGUGCAUCCGAAACUGCUGAGCUUGAGUACUUAAGAGGAGCGCGGAAUUCCCGGUGUAGAGGUGAAAUUCGUAGAUAUCGGGAGGAACACCAGUGGCGAAGGCGGCGAUCUGGGAAGAUACUGACGCUGAGGUGCGAAAGCGUGGGGAGCAAACAGG